AAGCAUUGGUUAACUGCCAGUGCCUUGACGGUACCUGACCAGAAAGCCACGGCUAACUACGUGCCAGCAGCCGCGGUAAUACGUAGGUGGCAAGCGUUGUCCGGAAUUAUUGGGCGUAAAGCGCGCGCAGGCGGCUUCUUAAGUCUGAUGUGAAAGCCCACGGCUCAACCGUGGAGGGUCAUUGGAAACUGGGAGGCUUGAGUGCAGAAGAGAAGAGCGGAAUUCCACGUGUAGCGGUGAAAUGCGUAGAGAUGUGGAGGAACACCAGUGGCGAAGGCGGCUCUUUGGUCUGUAACUGACGCUGAGGCGCGAAAGCGUGGGGAGAGAACAGGAUUAGAUACCCUGGUAUUCCACGCCGUAAACGAUGAGUGCUAAGUGUUAGGGGGUUUCCGCCCCUUAGUGCUGCAGCAAACGCAUUAAGCACUCCGCCUGGGGAGUACGGCCGCAAGGCUGAAACUCAAAGGAAUUGACGGGGGCCCGCACAAGCGGUGGAGCAUGUGGUUUAAUUCGAAGCAACGCGAAGAACCUUACCAGGUCUUGACAUCCCGCUGCCCGCUCUGGAGACAGAGUCUUCCCUUCGGGGACAGCGGUGACAGGUGGUGCAUGGUUGUCGUCAGCUCGUGUCGUGAGAUGUUGGGUUAAGUCCCGCAACGAGCGCAACCCUUGAUCUUAGUUGCCAGCAUUAAGUUGGGCACUCUAAGGUGACUGCCGGUGACAAACCGGAGGAAGGUGGGGAUGACGUCAAAUCAUCAUGCCCCUUAUGACCUGGGCUACACACGUGCUACAAUGGAUGGUACAGAGGGCAGCAAGACCGCGAGGUGGAGCAAAUCCCUUAAAACCAUUCUCAGUUCGGAUUGCAGGCUGCAACUCGCCUGCAUGAAGCCGGAAUCGCUAGUAAUCGCGGAUCAGCAUGCCGCGGUGAAUACGUUCCCGGGCCUUGUACACACCGCCCGUCACACCACGAGAGUUUGUAACACCCGAAGUCGGUGGGGUAACCAUUUGGAGCCAGCCGCCGAAGGUGGGACAGAUGAUUGGGGUGAAGUCGUAACAAGGUAGCCGUAUCGGAAGGUGCGGCUGGAUCACCUCCUUUCUA
rnacentral:rRNA from 1 species